rnacentral:rRNA from 1 species
UACCUACGGGAGGCAGCAGUGGGGAAUAUUGCACAAUGGGGGAAACCCUGAUGCAGCGACGCCGCGUGAGUGAAGAAGUAUUUGGGUAUGUAAAGCUUUAUCAGCAGGGAAGAAGAAAGACGGUACCUGACUAAGAAGCCCCGGCUAACUACGUGCCAGCAGCCGCGGUAAUACGUAGGGGGCAAGCGUUAUCCGGAUUUACUGGGUGUAAAGGGAGCGUAAACGGAGCAGCAAGUCUGAUGUGAAAGGUCGUGGCC